rnacentral:rRNA from 1 species
UUAAGGGCAAAUGGUGGAUGCCUUGGGUGAUAGAGGCGAUGAAGGACGUACUAGACUGCGAUAAGCUACGGGGAGCUGUCAAGAAGCUUUGAUCCGUAGAUUUCCGAAUGGGGCAACCCAACAUAUAGUAAUAUAUGUUACCUUUAAUGGAGCGAACCUAGCGAAGUGAAACAUCUCAGUAGCUAGAGGAAAAGAAAUCAACAGAGAUUCUCUUAGUAGUGGCGAGCGAACGGGGAAUAGGGCAAACCGAAUGCUUGCAUUCGGGGUUGUGGACUGCAAUAUCCACUUAGAGAAUCUAGCAGAAGUGUUUGGAAAGACAUAUCAUAGAGGGUGAUAAUCCCGUAUGCGAAAGAUUCUUUAUAGGUAGCAGUAUCCAGAGUAAGCCAGGACACGUGAAAUCCGGGCUGAAGCAGGGGAGACCACUCUCCAACCCUAAAUACUACUAUCACACCGAUAGCGAACCAGUACCGUGAGGGAAAGGUGAAAAGAACCGCAGUGAGCGGAGUGAAAUAGAACCUGAAACCAUUUGCCUACAAUCAUUCAGAGCCCUAUGAUUUAUCAGGGUGAUGGACUGCCUUUUGCAUAAUGAUCCUGCGAGUUGUGGUAUCUGGCAAGGUUAAGCAAACGCGAAGCCGUAGCGAAAGCGAGUCUGAAAGGGCGUUUAGUCAGAUGCUGCAGACCCGAAGCGAAGUGAUCUAUCCAUGGCCAAGUUGAAGUAAGUGUAAUAGCUUAUGGAGGACUGAACUCGUACCCAUUGAAACGGGUUGGGAUGAGCUGUGGAUAGGGGUGAAAGGCCAAACAAACUUCGUGAUAGCUGGUUCUCUUCGAAAUAUAUUUAGGUAUAGCCUCAAGUGAUAGUAAUAGGGGGUAGAGCUCUGAUUGGGCUAGGGCUGCUCACCGCGGUACCAACCCCUGUCAAACUUCAAAUACCUAUUGCCGUAUCUUGGGAGUCAGGCGGUGGGUGAUAAAAUCAAUCGUCUAAAGGGGAACAACCCAGACUACCAACUAAGGUCCCAAAGUUCUAUUCUAAGUGGAAAAUGAUGUGAAGUUACUCAGACAACCAGGAGGUUGGCUUAGAAGCAGCCAUCCUUUAAAGAAAGCGUAACAGCUCACUGGUCUAGUGAUUUUGCGCAGAAAAUAUAACGGGGCUAAGAUAGACACCGAAGUUGUAGAUUGUGCUGAUGCACAGUGGUAGAAGAGCGUUCGUAUUGCGUUGAAGGUAUAUCGGUAAGAAGUGCUGGAGCGAUGCGAAGUGAGCAUGCAGGAAUGAGUAGCGAUAAAAGUGGUGAGAAUCCGCUUCGCCGAAAGUCUAAGGUUUCCUACGCGAUGCUCGUCAUCGUAGGGUUAGUCGGGUCCUAAGCCGAGUCCGAAAGGGGUAGGCGAUGGAAAAUAGGUUAAUAUUCCUAUACCAAUAGUAGUGUGCGAUGGAAGGACGCAUAGGGUUAGGUGAGCCAACUGAUGGAAGUGUUGGUCUAAGAGCGUAGAUUGGGGGAGAGGCAAAUCCACCCCUGUAUUCGAAACUUGAAAGGCUCUUUGAAGUCUUCGGAUGGAAAGGAGAAUCACUGAUACCGUCGUGCCAAGAAAAGUUUCUAAGUUUAGCUACUAUUGCCCGUACCGCAAACCGACACAGGUAGAUGAGAUGAGUAUUCUAAGGCGCGUGAAAGAACUCUGGUUAAGGAACUCUGCAAACUAGCACCGUAAGUUCGCGAUAAGGUGUGCCACAGCAAUGUGGUCUCAGCAAAGAGUCCCUCCCGACUGUUUACCAAAAACACAGCACUUUGCAAACUCGUAAGAGGAAGUAUAAGGUGUGACGCCUGCCCGGUGCUCGAAGGUUAAGAGGAUUAGUCAGCCGCAAGGUGAAGCUUUGAAUUGAAGCCCGAGUAAACGGCGGCCGUAACUAUAACGGUCCUAAGGUAGCGAAAUUCCUUGUCGGUUAAAUACCGACCUGCAUGAAUGGCGUAACGAGAUGGGAGCUGUCUCAACCAGGGAUUCAGUGAAAUUGUAGUGGAGGUGAAAAUUCCUCCUACCCGCGGCAAGACGGAAAGACCCCGUGGACCUUUACUACAGCUUGGCACUGCCGAUGGGAGCAUUAUGCGCAGGAUAGGUGGGAGGCUUUGAAAUCUUUACUCUGGUAGAGAUGGAGCCAUCGUUGAGAUACCACCCUUAAUGUUUCUGUCUGCUAACUAGCUUGAGUUAUCCUCAAGUAGGACAAUGCCUGGUGGGUAGUUUGACUGGGGCGGUCGCCUCCUAAAAAGUAACGGAGGCUUGCAAAGGUUGGCUCAUUGCGGUUGGAAAUCGCAAGUAGAGUGUAAUGGCAUAAGCCAGCCUGACUGUAAGACAAACAAGUCGAGCAGAGACGAAAGUCGGUCAUAGUGAUCCGGUGAUUCUGUGUGGAAGGGUCAUCGCUCAAAGGAUAAAAGGUACCCCGGGGAUAACAGGCUGAUCUCCCCCAAGAGCUCACAUCGACGGGGAGGUUUGGCACCUCGAUGUCGGCUCAUCGCAUCCUGGGGCUGGAGCAGGUCCCAAGGGUAUGGCUGUUCGCCAUUUAAAGCGGUACGCGAGCUGGGUUCAGAACGUCGUGAGACAGUUCGGUCCCUAUCUGCCGUGGGCGCAGGAGAGUUGAGGAGAGCUGUCCCUAGUACGAGAGGACCGGGAUGGACAUGCCACUGGUGUAAGAGUUGUUCUGCCAAGAGCAUCGCUCUGUAGCUACGCAUGGAUGUGAUAACCGCUGAAAGCAUCUAAGCGGGAAGCCAACUCCAAGAUAAACUCUCCCUGAAGGUCGCAGCAAGACUAGCUGCUUGAUAGGGUAGAUGUGUAAGCAUAGUAAUAUGUUCAGCUGACUACUACUAAUAGACCGUUUGGCUUAUUU